rnacentral:rRNA from 1 species
GGCUCAGGACUAACGCCGGCGGCGUGCCUAAGACAUGCAAGUCGUACGCGAAAGUCGUAGCAAUACGGCAAGUAGAGUGGCGAAAGGGUGAGUAACACGUGGGUAAUCUUCCUUAAGGACUGGGAUAACCCAGCGAAAGCUGGGCUAAUACCGGAUGAUGCCAUAGAUUCUUCGGAGUUUAUGGUCAAAGGCGGGGCCGCAAGACCUGCCACCUUUAGAUGAGCCCGCGGCCUAUCAGCUAGUUGGUAAGGUAACGGCUUACCAAGGCGAAGACGGGUAGCUGGCGUGAGAGCGCGACCAGCCACACUGGAACUGAGACACGGUCCAGACUCCUACGGGAGGCAGCAGUCGGGAAUUUUGGUCAAUGGGCGAAAGCCUGAACCAGCGACGCCGCGUGCAGGAUGAAGUCCUUCGGGAUGUAAGCUGCUGUCGGGUGGGACGAAAUCUUCUGGGUAAAUAAUCCAGAAGGAUGACGGUACCACCGGAGGAAGCACCGGCUAACUCUGUGCCAGCAGCCGCGGUAAGACAGAGGGUGCAAGCGUUGUCCGGAUUGACUGGGUGUAAAGGGCGUGUAGGCGGUUUGGUAAGUCCAAUGUGAAAUCAUCAUCGCUCAACGAGAUGUCCGCAUUGGAUACUGUCAGACUUGAGUGCAGAAGAGAGAAACGGAAUUCCUGGUGUAGCGGUGGAAUGUGUAGAUAUCAGGAGGAACACCUGUGGCGAAGGCGGUUUCUUGGUCUGUUACUGACGCUGAGGCGCGAAAGCUAGGGGAGCAAACCGGAUUAGAUACCCGGGUAGUCCUAGCCGUAAACGAUGGAUACUAGGUGUGGGAGGUAUCGACCCCUUCCGUGCCGUAGUUAACGCAUUAAGUAUCCCACCUGGGGAGUACGGUCGCAAGACUGAAACUCAAAAGAAUUGACGGGGGCCCGCACAAGCGGUGGAGCAUGUGGUUCAAUUCGACACAACGCGAAGAACCUUACCAGGGCUUGACAUGUAUUGGUUGUAGGGAUCCGAAAGGUGACCGAGCUUAUAGAAAUAUAAGCGCCGAUACACAGGUGCUGCAUGGCUGUCGUCAGCUCGUGUCGUGAGAUGUUGGGUUAAGUCCCGCAACGAGCGCAACCCCUAUCCUUAGUUGCUAACAGGUCGCAAGAUGCUGAGCACUCUACGGAGACUGCCUCGUAUAACGAGGAGGAAGGUGGGGAUGACGUCAAGUCCUCAUGGCCUUUAUGCCCUGGCUACACACGUGCUACAAUGACCGGAACAACGAGAUGCAAACCCGCGAGGGCAAGCCAACCUCUGAAAACCGGCCCCAGUUCGGAUUGUAGGCUGCAAUUCGCCUGCAUGAAGUUGGAAUCGCUAGUAAUCGCGGAUCAGCUACGCCGCGGUGAAUACGUUCUCGGGCCUUGUACACACCGCCCGUCACAUCACGAAAGCCUGCUGUACCAGAAAUCGGUGAGCUAACCUGCAUAGGAGGCAGCCGCUGAAGGUAUGGCCGGUGAUUGGGGUGAAGUCGUAACAAGGUA